rnacentral:rRNA from 1 species
UACGAAGGGUGCAAGCGUUACCCGGAAUUACUGGGCGUAAAGCGUGCGUAGGUGGUUUGUUAAGUCUGAUGUGAAAGCCCUGGGCUCAACCUGGGAAUUGCAUUGGAUACUGGCAGGCUAGAGUGCGGUAGAGGAUGGCGGAAUUCCCGGAGUAGCAGUGAAAUGCGUAGAGAUCGGGAGGAACAUCUGUGGCGAAGGCGGCGAUCUGGACCAGCACUGACACUGAGGCACGAAAGCGUGGGGAGAAAACAGG